GCUUUUUCUCGCUCCUCCCACCUCUGGUUACACCAACCAAAAGCAUUUCUCUGCUCAUACGCUUCAGCAAGCUAGUUAGCCUUUUUAGCAUCUGUGUUACACAAUCGUGUCUGUAGGUCAAACCUGAAUCAGCUUAUCGAGAAGAAGGAACGAGCAAGCUAGCUAGUUUCUUCAACAGCCAUGGGUGUGCAAGUCAAAGUCGAAUACUGCGGUGGAUGAGGGUACGAGCCCCGCUAUCAGGAGCUCGCGCGGGUUGUCACCGCGGAAUUCACUGAAGCGGAAGUGUCGGGCUUCGUAGGAAGGCAAGGCAGUUUUGAGAUUGAGAUCAAUGGGCAAGUAGUUUUCUCCAAGCUCGAAACAAGCGGCUUCCCAUAUGAAGACGACAUCAUGGAUGCUAUACAGAAAGCCCAUGAUGGCAAGCCAGUGGAGAAGAUCACCAAGAGCCGCCCGCCUUGUGUCAUCCUGUAGAUCUCCUCUCCCUCUAUUCUCCAACCCUGCCCUCUCCUGACAGCAGCAUGCUGAAGACAGGACAGUGUGCAUCCAUCACUGCCACUGUCAUUACUCACUCAGCCUUUGCACUAACCGGGCAUGAGGGUGACACGCAACUCUCUGUUGAAACUACACUAGCAGAGUUGGACUAAGACCACUGUCUUUGAUUUAGAGUACAACCUGUCGUAAGGUUUUGUUGUGCCUUCUCUCUCCCCUCAUUCUCUGCUCCCAUUGAGGUGUUCCAGGACUUAUAUGAUUACUGUAGCCCAAAGCUGAAAGUUUAUAGUAUGAUGACUCCAGUCCUGGCAGCUCCUAUGUUAUGGGAUCAGAGAAAUGGAGGAGACCGUAAGAUCGAGGGGCAGACGGGUUGAGGGGGGCACCCUAUUUUAUUCCGAAAGCCUCAUUGCCUGGCAGACAGUUACUGCCUGAUUGUUCUAAUUCCUCUCAAAUAAUACAGCACCAUCAUUGGCCAGACAUAAACAAAGUUUUGAUGAACGUAAAAGAUAAAUGUUAUUGAGUACCAAAAGCAAGAAGGGAAGGAGCUCAAUUAUUUACAACCCUCUGUGAAAAUAAUUCUAUCACCUAGCUCUAAGCAUCAUACGCCCUGUUUCACAACAUGUAUUCUGUACCCUACUAUGAUGAUGAAUGUGCUGCUUGAACCUGUCAAUGCAAUGUUUGUCAAUGUAUUUAAUAAGAUGUAUUCUAAAGUGGAGACACUUUAAUCAAGGUUGAAGCUUAGACUUAAUGUUUCUUUUUGUGUUCAGUUCUGUCACUACAACUUUUAUGUAUCUUUAAAACUAGUGUAUCAAUGUCGGAACUUGGAUUUAAUCAGGUUUUUUUUCUUCAGUUAUGUCCAUCUAUAGCUAAUCUGCCUGGAACAUGAGAAGCUGAAACAUGAGAAACACCGUAGUAGCCAAACCUCUUGUGAAUAUACAAUUGUAUACUGUCACUGAAUCAUAGAUAAUGCAUUUUCAUUGACUCAGUGGCUUUUAUAUAUGAUCAGCUGGACUGUUAGUAGAGCUGACCUUGCAGGUAGAUAAAUCGUAAGUUGUUUUGAAAGCCAUCUCUCACUGGUCUGUCUAUCACUAACGACACCUCAUCACCCCCUGUUUAUGCACACAGUUUGAAUAUCAUCUCUGAAAACAUUUUUUUUCUGUUGCCCAGGGCUGUCAAGUAUGAUACCCAUUAGGAGAACUUCUAUCACAAAAUAAAGUUAUGGAUUAUUUAACUCUAUAAAUAUGUUAGUAUUGUCUUAACGUGUCAUGCUCAAAACUACUUCACAUUUUUUUCACUUCUGUAAUAACUACUCAACUCCAUUAGAAUGGAGAACAUGUCAGUUCUAAAGGGCUAUGUACCAACAUAUUACCAUAUUAUUAGAGUAUUGGCUCAUUCACAGGUCUGAACUCUCCAUACAGUACAUCCCCAUGGCAACAUAGCACCUCAGGUGUGUUACUCAAGUCUCAGUAAUUACUCUCUUGUUGAUGCUCACAUUCAGACAUCGAAUAACACUGUUAUGUGAUCAUUCUAUAGGGGGAACAGCUUUAGGCUACACCCACGCUGUAAUGUCAACAGAGCCAGCCAUGACAACUGCAGUAGGAAGAGAAAAGCCUUUGGAGCAAGAAGCAUCUUGUCAAAACACCUUUACAUCAGCAAAGCACAAUCAAGAAAGGAGUGAGGAGAAGAAUCUGGAUCAAAAGCCAUGGGUGUGGUGCAGAUCAGAGUGGAGUACUGUGGCCAAUGAGGGUACGAGCCCCGCUACAAGAAACUUCAGCAGGCUGUCGCUGUGGAGUUUCCUGGGGCGGAGGUGUCAGGCUUUGUAGGACGAAAGGCAGUUUUGAGUUGGAGAUCAACGGGGAGCUGGUCUUCUCCAAGCUGGAAACAGGUGGCUUCCCCAUGGAAAAGGAUGUCAGGGACGCUCUCCAGAACACCUAUGAUGGAAAAGUGGACCAGAAAUCGCCCACCUUGUGUCAUCCUGUAGAUCUCAAUUCCCUCCAUCCUACAACAGUUAUCACUCAGACCAAUGCUGCUGUCUGUCACCACUCACACAGCAGAGACUAAUUUCUGUUCCUUCUCUCUCUCUGCUCCCAUUGAAGUGUUCCAGGACUUUAUAUGAUUACUGUAGACCAAAGCUGAAAGGUUUAUAGUAUGAUGACCCCAGUCCUGGCAGCUCCUAUGUUAUGGGAUCAGAGAAAGGGAGGACAUGGGAAGACUGGUUGGGUGGAACUUCCUUAUUCCAGAUCUUCUAUGCCUAUCUGUUUACAGCACCACCAUCAGUCAGAUAAACAAUCAAUUUGAGCUGCUGAAGCCUGUCUGUGUAUUGAUCUCCCAUAUUGCAACUGAUGCUUUUUAAUUAGCUUUAAGUAGAACUCGUCAGUUGAGUAGAUUAAUUGCUAGUUAUGGUAAUGAAGGCCACCACCCACUGGUCUGUCUGCUACACUAACGAGACAUCAGCCCAAUUAUCAUUGCUGAAUACUGUUAUUGAUUGCUGAUGACAAUGUUUGAUACCCACUGGGAGGACUUCAAUCUCAAAAUAAAAUAAAAUGAAAUGG